rnacentral:tRNA from 2 species
GCGCCCGUAGCUCAACUGGAUAGAGUACUUGACUACGAAUCAAGCGGUUAGAGGUUCGACUCCUCUCGGGCGCG